CCUACGGGGGGCAGCAGUGAGGAAUAUUGGUCAAUGGUCGGGAGACUGAACCAGCCAAGCCGCGUGAGGGAGGAAGGUACAGAGUAUUGUAAACCUCUUUUGUCGGGGAGCAAAAGCCGGACGUGUCCGUCUGUGAGAGUACCCGAAGAAAAAGCAUCGGCUAACUCCGUGCCAGCAGCCGCGGUAAUACGGAGGAUGCGAGCGUUAUCCGGAUUUAUUGGGUUUAAAGGGUGCGCAGGCGGAUUUUUAAGUCAGCGGUCAAAUCGUGGGGCUCAACCCCAUCCAGCCGUUGAAACUGGGGAUCU
rnacentral:rRNA from 1 species